rnacentral:rRNA from 1 species
UUCCAAAAUUGGGGGGGCACUUUGUGAAAGAAAAAUUGGUACCAGGGUUUCGGUAGGUGACCUUGCGGAGGGUUCAUUG